rnacentral:rRNA from 1 species
AUGUACAUGUCUGUCAAAAUUGGGCAGAGGACGACUCUGCCUGCUCCUGCCUGCGCCGUGCGUGCCAAUGGUAGUGUCAAUGGCAUUGCGGCGGCUACGUCAGAACUCGCGGGGGUCGACGAAGAGCACGCUGCCCGGCGGCGCCGACGCCGGCCAGUCGGAGGCGGCAUUGCUGUCGGAGAGGUUCUUGAUGCACCAGACGUCCUCGUCGUAGGAGAAGCGGUGCCAGCUUGGGAUGGCGGCGGCGGCCGGGUCGUCGGGGCUGAGGUCGGCGGCGACGACGCCGCAGGCUGGGUUGUUGCGGGCCAUGUUGUGGGCGUGGCUGCAGAGCGUGCGGAGCAGGGCCGGGCCCUCCGGCCCGGACAUGCGGACUCCGUAGAUGAGGUAGGCGCCGAAGGGGCGGAAGAUGUCCGGCACGGAGGGCACGCGCAGCCACGGCGCGGCGCGGUCCAGCGCCCGGACCGCGGCGAGCGAGUGCCGGAGCAGCGCCGGCGCGCCGUCCACGCGCAGGCGGAGCGACCGGGUCUGGUCCCAGACGCUCAGCACGGCGAACGACGGCGACGGCGCGUUUGCCGUGGUGUGGCCGUCGGAGCUCUCGAUGGCCACGAAGGUGCCGAGGGUGAGCUUGUGGGCGAGGAGCGCCGGCAGGUCGGCGGGGAGGAACUCGGUGUCCCGCGCCGGGAGGAGCCGCGCGUAGGCCGCGGCCGCCAGCGUGGGCGUCAGCUGGAGCACGCGGUGGCGGCUCGUGACCGGCAGCCACCGCGCGUGCACGGGCCGGCCCAGGAGCACCGGCCGCCGGAACGGCACGUACCCGAACCGGCCGGCGAAGAGCGCCAGCGACGCCUUGUUGGACUCCGUGGUCGCCAUGGUCGCGUGCGCCGCGCCCCGCUUACGGCUCCACUCCUCCGCCGCCUUCACCAGCGCCGUCGCGAUCCCCAGCCGCCUAUAACACAACGGAAAAAGCACAGCCGCCGUCAGCACGCCAUUGCUCAAAAGAAGAAACUUGUACCAGUCGCGAUUAGGCAAGAAGGGAAAGCGCACUCGUAA